rnacentral:rRNA from 1 species
GACGAACGCUGGCGGCGCGCCUAACACAUGCAAGUCGAACGAGCGAGAGAGAGCUUGCUUUCUCGAGCGAGUGGCGAACGGGUGAGUAACGCGUGAGGAACCUGCCUCAAAGAGGGGGACAACAGUUGGAAACGACUGCUAAUACCGCAUAAGCCCACGGCUCGGCAUCGAGCAGGGGGAAAAGUAGCAAUCCGCUUUGAGAUGGCCUCGCGUCCGAUUAGCUAGUUGGUGAGGUAACGGCCCACCAAGGCGACGAUCGGUAGCCGGACUGAGAGGUUGAACGGCGACAUUGGGACUGAGACACGGCCCAGACUCCUACGGGAGGCAGCAGUGGGGAAUAUUGCACAAUGGGGGAAACCCUGAUGCAGCGACGCCGCGUGGAGGAAGAAGGUCUUCGGAUUGUAAACUCCUGUUGUUGGGGAAGAUAAUGACGGUACCCAACAAGGAAGUGACGGCUAACUACGUG